rnacentral:rRNA from 1 species
UACGUAGGGUGCAAGCGUUAAUCGGAAUUACUGGGCGUAAAGCGUGCGCAGGCGGUUGUGCAAGACAGAUGUGAAAUCCCCGGGCUUAACCUAGGAAUUGCAUUUGUGACUGCACGGCUAGAGUGUGUCAGAGGGGGGUAGAAUUCCACGUGUAGCAGUGAAAUGCGUAGAGAUGUGGAGGAAUACCGAUGGCGAAGGCAGCCCCCUGGGAUAACACUGACGCUCAUGCACGAAAGCGUGGGGAGCAAACAGG